GACGGGGGGGGCAAGUGUUCUUCGGAAUGACUGGGCGUAAAGGGCACGUAGGCGGUGAAUCGGGUUGAAAGUGAAAGUCGCCAAAAACUGGCGGAAUGCUCUCGAAACCAAUUCACUUGGGUGAGACAGAGGAGAGUGGAAUUUCGUGUGUAGGGGUGAAAUCCGCAAAUCUACGAAGGAAGGCCAAAAGCGAAGGCAGCUCUCUGGGUCCCUACCGACGCGUGGGGUGCGAAAGCAUGGGGGAGCGAACAGG
rnacentral:rRNA from 1 species